GUCUACCAAUAGAACCGCAGAUUCUCUUAUGAAAUUUUUUUUAUACUGAAAAUAUUUGUAGUAAUUGGUUAAUCUUUAUAUUUUAUUAAUCAGUCAUCACCCACCUCAACACUGAAAUUAGUCCAAUCCAGUUGAACCCACUUGUACUUAUCAGGCUUCUUCUCAGUUCUCACGUCACAUAAAUCAUGCAAGGAUGAUGAUGAACCAAGUCCACGCGUUCAACUUUGACUUUAACGCACACUCAAAUACCACGUCGUCUCUUCUUCCCCCUUCGUUCCAAGCAACAUCCCCCACUCACCACCUUCUCUUCUCCAUAUAAAACUGCCAUUGUCAACCCACUUUAUCCAUCAUUAACACCCACCAAGCUUCUCUUUAAUCUGCAAACGAAAAUGAUUCUUCAAGACUCCAACCCAGUUAUCAUUCGACAAGUAUGGUCUGCUAAUUUGGAAUCUGAAUUCCAGCUCAUACGCGACCUCAUUGAUGACUUUCCCUUCAUUUCCAUGGAUACAGAAUUUCCUGGCCUAAUUUUCCAUCCUUCACUCGACUCCGCAAAUUUUUACUCCCAUCAACGCCACCCCUUUGAUCAUUACAAGAUCCUCAAGUCCAACGUCGAUGCUUUGAAUCUCAUCCAGGUAGGCCUCACUCUUUCUGACUCCAAUGGCAAUCUCCCUGAUCUCGGCACUACAAAUCGAUUCAUCUGGGAAUUUAAUUUUCGGGAUUUUGACGUGUCUCGUGAUGCUCACGCCCCGGAUUCCAUCGACUUGCUUAAGCGUCAGGGCAUCGACUUUGAAAGGAACAGAGAGGAAGGUAUUGACUCUGACCGGUUUGCUGAGUUAAUGAUGUCUUCGGGACUGAUAUGCAAUGAAUCGAUGAGUUGGGUCACGUUUCACAGUGCCUAUGAUUUUGGAUAUCUGGUGAAGAUCUUGACGCGCCGAUGCUUGCCUAGUGAUUUACAGGAUUUUAUGAGAUUGUUGAGGGUAUUUUUUGGGAAUAGAGUUUAUGAUGUAAAAUACAUGAUGCGGUUCUGUGAUGGUUUGUAUGGUGGUUUGGAUCGAGUGGCCACUACACUAAAAGUGAAUCGGGCAGUCGGGAAAUGUCAUCUAGCCGGAUCAGAUAGCUUGUUGACGUGGCACGCAUUUCAGAAGAUGAGGGAUGUUUAUUUUGUGAAAGAUGGGCCGGAGAAGCAUGCGGGGGUGUUGUACGGCUUAGAAGUUUUUUAAUUUUUCCUUUAUUUUAUUUUAAUUUCAAUUUGUAUAUUAAUUAAAGAAAUUCUUUUUGUAGUGAUAAUAUGCUGCUUACUUGGCCACUCCCUGAACCAUAGGAUUCGCAAAUGACUCAAGAAGCGACAAUGACCAAAAUGGGCUUGUAAGAGUAAACAUAAGUUCCGUCUCUGCUCUCUACUCCGCACCGCGUCCCUUUUCCUCCUAUGUGGCUAUAUUCCCAUUAGCAAACAAUUAAACAAGAGAAAGGAGCAAAGUACCAUUACCAUAACAAUAUCAUCAUUGAUAAACAACAACAUAUUUGAAUAAAUUUCAAGUAUCUAACUUGUCCUGCUUAAGCCCAAUCAACUAUAAGUAAAAUGGCAAAAUGAGAGUAAUUGGAAAUAGUGAGGGUACUUACGUCAUACAAGUUUUUCCCUUUGUCGUUUUAACAACUUUCUUGCAUAGAUUUUUCGAAGAAUUCAAUGUUCCGGAUUAUGUGAGUUGGAGAUAGAUAGAUAGAGAACUGUUUUUUCUUUUGUUUGGCUGGCUGGAGCUUAAUAAUAGCAAUGGCCAUAGCUGUGCAAGUCUCUCCUCUGUUUUCUGCUACUUCCCUUAUCAGUAGGAGAAGCAUCAACAAUUACUAUAUUGGUUCCAUUCGACCCCCCAAAUCAAGUUUUAAACGCUUCAAGACCAGAGCCAUCAAAGAGAAAACAGAAGAAACGAAUAUCCCAUCACCUUCUUCAUCUUCUUCACCCGAGGAAAUUGUCAAGAAGUAUGGUCUCGAAGUAGGUCUUUGGAAGGUACCCAAUUAACCAAAUAUACGCUUCGCUUCUUUUAUAUUUUAUUUUAUUUUUCCCUCUAUUGCACUUGCCUAAUGUGAAUUUUAAAGUGCCAUCGGGUUAAUUUGUGUUUCAGAAUUCAUUUGCUAAUUAAAUUUAAAUCUAAUAAGAAAUUGAUAUUUUACUGGUUCAUCUGAAUGUGGUUUGCUACUGGGAAUUUAGGUUAUACGUUUAUUGAUUAAUUAUACCCGAAAUUAGACAUUUAGUCGAUUAGCUUUAAAUUGUUUCAAGAACUUCAAUCUAAUAAAUAUGUAAUUAUGUAUACAUAUGCAUGAUGAUGAAGAUAUUCAGCUCAAAAGAGGGAAGGACUGAAGAUGAUGGAGAGGAAAAGAAAUCAAAGGGAGAACAAGCCAAGGAGCUGCUAGCAAAAUAUGGAGGGGCAUACCUGGCCACCUCCAUUACACUGUCCUUGAUCUCCUUCUCUCUCUGUUAUGCACUCAUUAGUGCAGGCAUCGAUGUCCAAGCUUUGCUGCAAAAGGUGGGAAUUUCC
rnacentral:misc_RNA from 1 species